rnacentral:misc_RNA from 1 species
CUGACCAGCACCGAUAGCUUCAAGCUGCGUUCCGAGGAACCGGUGCCGGGCUUCAGCUCGGCCUCCCCCUGGCCCACGCUCGAGCUGGGGAUGGAGUGGGGACGCAAGCUCUACCCUACCGCCGGGCCCCGGUCCGCCGGGGGCCUCAUGUUCGGCCUGCCGCCCUCCGCCGCCGACAUGAACCAGCCGCGGGGGCCCAUGACCUCCCUCAAGGAGGAGCCGCUGGGCGGACGCUGGGCCAUGCAGCCAGUCGUCGAUCAGACCAACCUGGGCAUUGGCCGCGCCCACUUUGAGAAGCAGCCGCCCAGCAAUUUACGUAAAUCGAACUUCUUUCACUUUGUGAUCGCCCUGUACGAUCGGGCCGGCCAGCCCAUCGAGAUCGAGCGCACGGCCUUCAUUGGGUUCAUCGAGAAGGACUCGGAAUCGGAUGCCACCAAAACCAACAACGGGAUACAAUAUCGCCUGCAGUUGCUCUAUGCGAAUGGCGCCCGCCAGGAGCAGGACAUAUUCGUGAGGCUGAUCGAUUCCGUGACCAAGCAGGCCAUCAUCUAUGAGGGUCAGGACAAGAAUCCAGAGAUGUGUCGGGUCCUGUUGACGCACGAAGUCAUGUGCAGCCGCUGCUGUGAUAAGAAGAGCUGUGGCAACCGCAACGAGACGCCAUCGGACCCCGUCAUUAUUGAUCGGUUCUUCCUGAAGUUCUUCUUGAAGUGCAACCAGAACUGCCUGAAAAACGCUGGCAACCCGCGGGACAUGCGCAGAUUCCAGGUGGUCAUCUCUACACAGGUGGCCGUGGACGGACCCCUGCUGGCCAUCUCCGACAACAUGUUCGUGCACAACAACUCGAAGCACGGACGGAGGGCCAAGCGGCUGGACACCACGGAAGGUACAGGCAACACAUCCCUGUCCAUAUCCGGUCACCCCCUAGCGCCCGACAGUACCUACGAUGGUCUCUACCCGCCCCUGCCGGUGGCCACGCCCUGCAUCAAGGCGAUCUCCCCGAGCGAGGGCUGGACCACGGGCGGCGCCACAGUCAUCAUUGUGGGCGACAACUUCUUCGACGGCCUCCAGGUGGUCUUCGGGACGAUGCUCGUGUGGAGCGAGCUGAUUACCUCGCACGCCAUCCGCGUCCAGACCCCGCCCAGGCAUAUACCCGGCGUCGUCGAGGUGACGCUCUCCUACAAGAGCAAGCAGUUCUGCAAGGGAUCGCCCGGACGCUUCGUCUAUGUCUCAGCUCUCAACGAACCCACAAUCGACUACGGAUUCCAGCGCCUGCAGAAGCUCAUUCCGCGCCACCCCGGCGAUCCGGAGAAGCUGCAGAAGGAGAUCAUAUUGAAGCGGGCCGCCGACCUGGUCGAGGCCCUCUACUCAAUGCCCAGAUCUCCGGGCGGCUCCACCGGCUUCAACUCCUACGCCGGACAGCUGGCCGUCAGCGUCCAAGACGGCACCGGCCAGUGGACCGAGGACGACUACCAGCGCGCCCAGUCGAGCAGCGUGAGUCCCCGCGGCGGCUACUGCAGCAGCGCCUCCACCCCCCACAGCUCGGGCGGCUCCUACGGGGCCUCGGCCACCACAGCGGCGGUAGCAGCCACGGCCAACGGCUAUGCGCCCACACCCAACAUGGGCACCCUCUCCUCCUCGCCGGGCAGCGUCUUCAACUCCACGUCAAUGUCCGCCGUGUCGUCGACGUGGCAUCAGGCGUUCGUGCAGCAUCAUCAUGUGGCCGCCGCCCAUCCGCACCACUAUCCGCAUCCCCACCAGCCGUGGCACAAUCCGGCCGUGUCAGCAGCCACGGCGGCGGCCGUUUAAGGACCUGCAGGCAGCAGGAGCUCAUCGAAGAGCCAAUGGAGGCGUCCAGGCAGAAGGAGGAGCAGCUGGAUUGGGAAUGGGAAUGGGCUGGAGUAACGACAUUCUGUUGAAAUUAAAUGCUGCUGAAACACGCCCGCCCACACAGACACCAGCCCCCACCAACCCACCCACAGACAACACACAGCUGGGCAGACACCCACUCUUAUCUAUCGGCGAGGACGCCCCACAAUCUGUGCCUGUGGCUGAGCACCGACAAAACUAAACACUUCCACCUACAAAAAAAAACACCACAGACAACACACGAUUAACGGAGUGAGCAGCCUGAGUUUCAAUCCCUUCGCCCUGCCCACCUGCAACACCCAGGGCUACAGCACCAGCCAGCUGGUGACUUCAACCAAAU